rnacentral:rRNA from 1 species
UCACUUGUCCCUUAAAUGGGGACGCGUAUGAAAGGCAACAUGAGAGAAAACCUGUCUCCUAAGGAAUGCCAAUGAAAUUGAACUGCCAGUUCAAAAGCUGGUAUAAAAAAGCAAGACAAAAAGACCCUGUGGAACUUUAAUUAACUGCUUUACAUAAUAAAACCAGUAAUUUCAGUUGGGACAACUUUAGAAAAAAUAAACUUCCUAAUUUUACUAGACUAACUAGUCCAAAACAACCAUGACCCAGUAGUACUGAUUAACGAAACAAGCUACCCCAGGGAUAACAGCGCUACCUUCUCAAAGAGUUCAUAUCAACAAGAAGAUCUACGACCUCGAUGUUGGAUCAGGGUACCCAGACGGUG